CCUACGGGUGGCAGCAGUGAGGAAUAUUGGUCAAUGGACGAAAGUCUGAACCAGCCAAGUCGCGUGAAGGAUGACUGCUCUAUGGGUUGUAAACUUCUUUUAUAAGGGAAUAAAACGAGCCACGUGUGCCUUUUUGCAUGUACUUUAUGAAUAAGCAUCGGCUAACUCCGUGCCAGCAGCCGCGGUAAUACGGAGGAUCCGAGCGUUAUCCGGAUUUAUUGGGGUUAAAGGGAGCGUAGAUGGGUGUUUAAGUCAGUUGUGAAAGUUUGCGGCUCAACCGUAAAAUUGCAAUUGAUACUGGCAGUCUUGAGUAUAGUUGAGGUAGGCGGAAUUCGUGGUGUAGCGGUGAAAUGCUUAGAUAUCACGAAGAACCCCGAUUGCGAAGGCAGCUUACUAAACUAUGACUGACAGUGAUGCUCGAAAGUGUGGGUAUCAAACAGGAUUAGAUACCCGUGUAGUC
rnacentral:rRNA from 1 species